rnacentral:rRNA from 1 species
AUGGCCACGGCGCGCGCUGUUGCCGCGUCCAUGAGGCUCACCUGCGCGCUCAGCACCUUAGCCAUCCUCGCCACCAUCCUCUUCACGCUCCUCCUGCUGAUCGCUGGUGCCUUGCAGUUGCGUGUCCCGACCGGCUACGUGGUGGUCGACUGCGCCCCGCCCCCGCCCUCGGACGCCGCCGCUGCUGCCUUCCUCGACAGCCUCCUGCCGCUCCUGGCCGCGCUGCCCGCUGCCGCCGCGCCGACGGGGUUCGCGUCCCUGCAGUCCAGCGGCGGGGCGUUCACCCGCGGCGUCUGCCUGGGCGGCUCCGCGCUCAAGGAGUGCCUCGCGUGCCUCGCCGCGGCCGCCAAGAACCUCACCGGCUGCGGCGCGAGCAGGCGCGCCGGCGUCUGGAGGGGCGAGGGCUGCUUCAUGGGCUACGCGGACGGCAACGCUUCCUCUCCGCACGAGGACGUCUUCCGCGACGUCGUCUCCUUCGGCGAAGACGUCUUCCCCGCCGUCAUCUCCUUCGACGACGGCAAGCCGCCCUCCAACCCCAAGUGCUUCGACACGCGGGCGCUCGUCGCGCUCGCGCAGUCGCUGGCGGGGCGCGGCGCGGCCAACAGCUCGGGGGCGCGCGUCGUCACCGACGCGGCCGCGCUCUCGAGCAACGCCACUGGGAAGACCACGGUGACGUUGCGGGCGCAGUGCGCGAGGGACCGCGCCGCGGCGGCGGACUGCGCCCGGUGCCUGGGGGGCUCGGGGCGAGAGGUGCGGGCGUGCGGCUGGGGCCUCGACGGCGAGCACGAGCGCGUGGCCGACGUGCUCGGCUACAACUGCUUCCUACGGAUCGAGACCUCAGUUCCGACGGGUUGGCCCAUGCCCGUGGCGAAAUAUAUGAAGGAUCCCGUCCUGAUAACCUUGUGCGCCGGCAUGCUGCUCGCGCUGGUCGCCGCGGUAAUCGCGUGCGUCCGUGGGAGGAAGAAGAGGGGCACCGGGAACGCGUAG